GUGCUUGUUUCAGCAGCACAUAUACUAAAGUUGGAACUAUACAGAGAAGAUUAGCAUGGCCCCUGUGCAAGGAUGACAUGCAAAUUCAUGAAGUAUUCCAUAUUUAA
rnacentral:snRNA from 1 species